rnacentral:rRNA from 1 species
CUUGUAGGUGGCCAACUAAGUCGGACGUGAAAUCCCUCGGCUUAACCGGGGAACUGCGUCCGAUACUGGAUGGCUUGAGUGUGGGAGAGGGAUGCGGAAUUCCAGGUGUAGCGGUGAAAUGCGUAGAUAUCUGGAGGAACACCGGUGGCGAAGGCGGCAUCCUGGACCAUAACUGACACUGAUAAGCGAAAGCCAGGGGAGCAAACG